CCCCCACGGUCCACGGCCCCACCUCACCCCCUGUUUCCCCGCCCCAGCCACUCCGCCACCUCAUCAUGCUCCUAGCCCCUUCUCAGCACCAUCUCUUCCCCUCGCGAAGCACCCACCAUUAUCCCUGCCCCUGCCACCCUGCCCCUGCCCAGAGAAGGGGAGACGAGAUUACGGAACAUUACCGCCAUAUUCCAGAAACUCCCAACGAAGGUGGAUACCAGAAACUCUUCGAAUCCCCUUACAUAAAUAACCUCUUCCUUUAUCCCCUCACACUGUGGUUUGAGAUUAAACGACUUUCAAGUCUCAAUUGGAGAAAACGAUCGAUUCUCGAUUCAGGUGGGAAGUGUCUUUCUUGAUUUCGUUUGUCUUUGAUUUUCCUAACAAGGGUGCCAUCUACAAUGGCGGAUGCUCACAUGGAAGAAACCGAGACUUUCGCCUCUCAGGCCGAGAUUGAUACCUUCACGAUGUCUUCAAUAAACUCAAGAUUACAAAGCACAUUGAAGUGAACAAGCUAGUGGAGGGAAGAUCCCUUGAUAACCUGGAGCUCAUGCAGUGGAUGAAGAGAUACUGUGAUUCCGUCAAUGGCGGACUUCUGCACAAGUAACUCUCAUGUCCUCUGUGUUUGAGUACUUCUUUAGGCAUUGAGAUCAAGAAAACCAAAGAGAUGACAUAUGUGAUGGAUGUCAGUAUAUCCAUGCGGAAGAAUAACCACUCCAUUGCACCAGAGAGAUGAAAUUUGGGCCGGGAAUACCUAUCCACCAGUUUGAGGUAGCUUCGUUGCCAAAUUUAUCUCACUACAGGCUAAGCCCUACAGAACAUGAGGAAUUGCAACAAAAAUUUUCUGAGUUGUUGGACAAGGCUGUAUCAGAGUCUCAGUCCUUGUGCCAUACACACACUAUUUGUUCCUAAGAAGAAUGGUAAGUGGCGUAUGAUCAUCGAUGGUAGAGCGAUUAAUAAGUCACUAUUAAAUAUUACUUUCCUAUUCUGAGGUUGGAUGAUUCGUUGGACCAAUUGUUGGGCGAUACACUACUUUCUCUAAACUGGAUCUCAGGAGUGGCUGUCAUCAGAUCAGAAUCAAAGCUGGAGAUGAAUGGAAGACAGCAUUUAAGAUGUGAGAUGAUUUGUACUAGUGGCUAGUUAUGCCAUUUGGAUUAAUCUAAGAUGAUCACAGUUGUCAAAUAUUUUUUUUCUGGGGAGGUUUGUUGUUGUUUACUUGGUGACAAUGUUAUUUAUAGUUAAAUUAUUAAUAAUCAUUUACAACACUUUGAUGAGAUGCUGACAGCUUUAGGCAAGGUAAGUGUCUACACCGUGACUGAGAAAGCUACUUCUUGGUGACUCAAAUUCUAUUCUUCUGAUAUGUGGUUUCUGGCUACAGUAUCUCUGUGGACAAGUCUAAAAUCAAGUGAUUCAAGAUCAGCUUACUACUACCAAUAUUCAUGGGGUUCACAGUUUUCAUGGCCUGGCUUCUUUUUAUCGAAGGUUUAUUUCUCAUUUUAGCACUUUUGCUGCCCCUCACUGCUCAUAUAAGGAAGGGGGCAUUCAAAUGGACUUCUGUAGCACAGGAAAGUUUUGAGCAGCUGAAGAUGAAGUUGAGUACUCCACUUCUCCUUGCACUACCCAACUUCGAUAUUGUGUUCAAGGAGCACUGUGACGCAUUUGAGUAUGGAUAUUAGAUUGGUACUAAGCCAAGCAGGGCAACCCAUAGUGUAUUUCAGCAAGAAGCUCAGCGGUGCUGGACUCUGUUACAGGACCUAUGACUUGGGAGUUUUAUACCGUCUUUUGAACUCUUGAACAUUAGAGUCAAUAUCUUAUUCAUAGGGAGUUCAUUCAUUAUAUUGACCAUGAGGCACUGAGAUAUAUUUUUGGACAGAAGAAUCUUAAUUCUCGCUAUGGUAAAUGGGCAGAAUUUAUUGAAAAGUUUUCUUUUGUCAUCAAGCACAAAGCCGGUAUUCAGAAUCAGGUAAUAGAUGUUUCGAGUCACAAGCGCACCUUGCUUUAUUCUAUGCACAUUAUAGUACUUAACUUUGAAUCUUUCCGGGAGUUGUAUUUUGAGGAUCCUUAUUUUGCAUCUAUUUUAGAUAAAGUAAGUUCUAAAUUACACACUGAUUUCACUGUUUGUGAGGAUUUUUUCUUCAAAGGAAAUCGUCUCUAUGUAUCUGAUUGCUCUUAGCAACUAAACAUUAUUUCUGAGUUGCAUCGUGAAGGAAAUUUUGUUUCUGA